CAGCUUCAGCCGCACCGCCGCGUGUAGCACUCCGCCCCCCCGUGACAGUGCUGUUGGGCCCGCUGGGAUGGACAAGUGUAGUAGAAGAAAUUAAUGUACUUUCCCGAGCCUGGAUCCCGGUGCCCGUACCCGAGCGCAUUGCAGCGGGCCGCCUGGCGCUGGGUUUGGGAGCAGCCCGAAGAGGAGACGCCCUUAGGACGGAUCGUAGACGUCCAUCGCGAACCGCGCCCGGGCGGGCGGGGAGGUUCCCGGGGGCACAGCGCGAUUCGGCCGGGAGCGGCACGGGGUGACGGCCGAGAGCCCCGGGAACCGCGACGGGGCGGGCAGCCCUCGGCGUCACCGCGGCCCCUCCCGUGCUGAGCCCGUGGCUCCGGGUGGCCAGCGAGCGAACGAACGAACGAAUGUGUCCUCGGGCCAGAGGGGACGUGACACCGGCCACCUGUUCUCCUGCCUCUCACGGUCCCGCAUCUUCCCAGCUCCCAGUGCAUUGAGCCCAACCGUUUUGAUCCCCGGCAAUAAAUUCAGGGCCUUCGGCA
rnacentral:lncRNA from 1 species